rnacentral:rRNA from 1 species
UACAGAGGGUGCGAGCGUUAAUCGGAAUUACUGGGCGUAAAGCGUGCGUAGACGGUUUCGUAAGUCGGGUGUGAAAGCCCCGGGCUCAACCUGGGAAUUGCAUUCGAGACUGCGUAGCUAGGGUGCGGAAGAGGGAAGCGGAAUUUCCGGUGUAGCGGUGAAAUGCGUAGAUAUCGGAAGGAACAUCAGUGGCGAAAGCGGCUUCCUGGUCC